GUCUAUGGUUGUACCACCCUGAACACACCCAGUCUUACCUGAUCUCAGGAGCUAAGCGGGGUUGGGCGUGAUUAGUAAUUGCAGGGGAGAAUGGAAACACAUACCAGAGUUU
rnacentral:rRNA from 1 species